GGGCCCGCCCCACUAGAGGCCCCGCCCUCCCGAGUCCCGGAAGUUUGCUCUCCACGCUGGCAGCUUGUCUGGAGGGCCCAGGAGGAAAUCCAUCCCCAGGAACAUUACGGAAAGGAGACCCAUGUAAACUGCUGCUACGAGGAAGCCUCCCUGGUUUUCAGGUUCCCAGUGACAUAUUCCUCUGACAUCUUAUUUAGAAGUUGGCAUGAUGGUUCAGAGGUAUGGAACUCUUGCUGCUCGUCGGCAUCAGCCCCUUAGACCUGGUGCUUUACAGAACACAGUGUAACUACAGAAACAAGCCAGGGAGCUUGGCUGAGUUGUUCAAAGUAGCACAUAGUCUAACAAGUUGGAGCCUUCGGCAGCUGUGUUCUGUGGACGGGGCUACUCCAGAUGGUGACGUGGCAACCUUGAUGAGCCCCUGGUCCCCACGCUAAGGCCUUGUUUGUCCCAGUCGGGUUCCUUCCUCUCCUUUCCUUCCAGCUCUGUUCCCAAACCACUUCUGUGUUUCUCCUUCCCUCAAUGUCCUCUUGACAGCUCUCAGCUUCAGUUUGUUCUGCAACUAAGACAUAGUUGAGAUUGUGCUUAAAAAAGAAUGUAAGCCUCUAGUCUGUAAAGUUACCCUUUCUGUACAAAUGCGUGUCCAUUUAUCCUCUGGUUACAAACCAACCUAAGGAGUCCCUGUGUGGGACACACUGGCUGGUGCAAGUGAGGCUCUAAAGAAAUGAGAAAUGGGUUGUUUACCCAGUGCGAUGCUAGAGCUACAGGGACAUUUGGGUUCGGCAGAGGCCUGUCCAGAGGUGCUCUUAAUCUCCGUGAAGUUCCACUUCUGGGAAGGUGCAGACAUCCCAUGACUUUGGUCACCAGAUGCCUCAGGAUCAUCUUGUAUUUUAAUUUACUGUGUAAAUUAAAUUAGGAACCUUGGUAUGAGGAAAUACUUCGUGUAACUUUCAAUAAAGACACCUUUGUAUGGCUCUUCAGGGACUCAAUUCAUCAGAAGAGGCUGGACCUUCCUGCUACCACAUAGGCCCGAAAAUUUCAUCUUGGAGUGCCUUCUUUCUUUAACAGACCCGCACUGCACGGUGCACCCCAACAGGAAGGCUUUUUUUCUAAAGUAAGAGGGCUGCGGGGACCACCAGUUCCUAGAACAGUUUAAAAAUCCACGUUUCCUUCCAUCCUCCUUUGCAUCUUUGUUCUGGGAAAUGAGAAGCAGGCCAAUGUGUUGCUACUUCAGAAAGAACUGCUUGGAAGGCUAUGGGUUUCCAAGUACCCAUGCAAUUCCGUUCAGUGAGUUCCCAGGAAUAAUGGGGCCUCUUUUUUUCCCUAAGAUUUAUUUGAUUUUUAAAUGUAUGUGUAUGUGUGAAGACAUGCAUGCUGGUACCUGUGAGGCUGGAAGGGAAAACUGUAGUCCCUAACUAGAGUCACAGGUGAUUUUGAGCUACCUUAUUCGUGUUCUGGGUCCCCUAAGAGCAGCAAGUGCGCUCUGUUAACUGCUGGACCGUCUGUCUCCCUCUCCUCUUGAAGAUAGUUUGUCACAGACACGGACCACUGCUCUCGCAGAACAGCAGAAUGUAUUUCUGAGCUGAAUUCCAUGAGCAAACACAGUCACACACUGGCCUGCCUGCUCAAGGUGGUGGCUGGCUACCUUGGGAUUGUGCAAGAUGGCACUGUGGCUGACCUGUAAUGGAAGCAAGUCUGACGCAGGUGGAAGGACAGACAGAUUGACCACGUGAAUCAAGCUUCUCUCAGAGCACCAGAAUUUCACAAUGUGCAGGUUAAUGACAUCACAGGGGGGGAAAUAACAAAGUGUAACUGGCGUUGCUAACAAGUCACAAACACGGAACGUCCCGGAUUCAAAUGUGUACUUGGUCGGUGAGGAAAAAGAAAAUAAUGCUUCAGUUGCACGGUUUCAAUGCCCACUACAUGGGACUUGGGCCGAGAACUCCCUCAAGUCUUGUUUGGAGUCAGUACAACCAAUAUUUGAAGUUGGAAAAAGCAAACAUAGGUUUGGAUUUCUGUGAAGCUGUAUGAAAUGACAGGGGAAAUUUGCAUCAGUGAAAUACUUGUUAGAACAGUGUUUGAAAGGAGGCAAUUUCUUUCACGUAUCUUUGGAACCUUUUAUAGUAUUGCAAAAAUGAAGGAAGGCCAGGAGGUGGUGGCGCACGCCUUUAAUCCCAGCACUUGGGAGGCAGACACAGGUGAUCUCUGUGAUUUCGAGUUCCAGAACAGGCUCCAAAACUACAGAGAAACCCUGUCUUGGGGGGGAAAAAAAAGAAAGGGAAGAAAGUCAGAUCACAUAUAUAUUUUAUGAGCUUUAAACUUACACAUUUUUAAGGAUAAAAAUAAUGGCAACAUAAUUACCGAUGAUGCUCACAACUGCUCACCGUUUUGUGAGUCAUCAAUAAUAGGAAACAUGCCAUAACUGAAACAAAUUCCUCUCCUCAUAUAUUUUAGGAAAAACUUGGCAACAGGUAGCAUAAUCCCCAAGCUACGAUACAAUCAUUUCGUCUAUGUAAAGCUAUCUAGAAGUAGGAAGGGCUGGGGUUGGCUAACAGCUCUGCCAGGUCUGGGUCAGAUUUUCCAUGGACUGCCCUCUCCAUGGCAGAUUUUCCACAACCAGGACUGCCUAGUGACUGUGAGAGAGCGGGCACAGCUCUGUGUGUAGUGGCCUUACAUGCUUUGUCCAAGUCAGGAGGAAGCAUUCUCACGCAUCUUCUUGUCCGAGGAAAACAUCUCUCCUCCCUGACAGUUUUCAGUCAGGCCUCACCUUGUGGUCCACUGGCCCAGAACUGGCUUUCAUUCCCUCUCUCAACAAUAAUAAUGGUAACAAUAGUAACAAAUGGUGGACAGACUAGAAUUACCCAUAAUUCAUGUAGCACAGGGUCCAGGAAACUCCUGAAAAGGACCAGCUAGCAAACACUGGAGACUUUCCAGGACACGCUGUCUCUACCAUGUGCGUUCAGCUUUACCACUGUAGAACCAUGGGCACUGCAGAUAGUUAAGUGAAACUGUUUUCCAACAAGACUUCAUUUUUCUUUGCACAUGGAAAUUUCAUCUCAUAUUAGUGAGAAUGCUUCUUUAGUUUGCUGUGAUGAAACCAUGACCAAAAGCAAUUCGAUUGCUCUUACAGAUUAGAGUCCAUGUCUAAGUCUGUAAAAAACUGACAAAAGCAAUGACAGCAUCUAAUUUUAACUUCUCACACUAUAUCAUUCUUGCGUUUUUCAACUCUUUGAAGUCAAGUUUUUUAAAGCAUUUGGAACAGUUGGAGGAGUAGGCUUGUCAACUAGGUUCAGUAUGAGUGCUUUGCUCCCUUAGAGCUGUAGGAGGGGCCCACAUUCUCUGAGAUUAAAACACCCCUGCUUGAAAAGAGGAGAAAGCAGUGGAUCCCCAAAUUUUCUAGCGGCAAUCUUCUUCACUCAAAAAUUUUUAUGUGACCUCAGGUAUUUAGGGAGCUAAAAUAGAUGUACAAAUCAAACAUUCACUUAUAAUAAACCCUAAAGUUGCUUUAAAACAAUUCUUUGGUAUACAUAUCUUGUUUGUUUAUUUGUUUGUUCGAGACAGGGUUUCUCUGUGUAACAGCCCUAGCUGGUCUGGGAGUCGCUCUGUAAACCAGGCUCGCCGUGAACUCACAACGAUCCACCUGCCUCUGCCUCAGAAUAAAAGGAAAGUGUCCCCACCUCUGGCAAGUUCCCACAUCUUUGCCAAGUCAUUGAAAUAGCCUUUGGUAGAGAGAGCCACACUCCCAGGGCGUUCACAUAGCAAUUCCACAUGGGGAAGAAGUUGCAGAGGCUGGAACUGAACUGUGUCGCGAUAACGUGUCCCGUGGGCACUUUCUGAGAGUCUUCUGAAUGUGACAGCAGCGUGGCCCUGAGUCCUGCUUGAAUCCCAUUUCACAGGCAGGGUUCU